rnacentral:rRNA from 1 species
CUUACCCUCAACCCACGAGAAUGACCGCAUAAGAUCUAAUCUAACAAACUUUAGUUUCAUUGCUCUCUUGCUAAACAAGACGACGACUCGCACACAUGCUAGACUCUUAUUGACCCGUCUUGAAACACGGACCAAGGAGUCUAACAUGUGUGCGAGUCACUCGGUCUUGUUUAGGCCAGAGAGGCGCAAUGAAAGUAAAGUUUGUUAAGUUACGAUCCUUAUGCGGUCAUUCCUCGUGGGUGACGGUAAGGCGCAGUAACGGCCCGCUAAUUUCGCCUAUUGACGAUCUGGCGGAGUCGUAGCAUACACGUUGGUACCCGAAAGAUGGUGAACUAUGCCUGGGCAAGACGAAGCCAGAGGAAACUCUGGUGGAGGUCUGUAGCGAUUCUGACGUGCAAAUCGAUCGUCAGACCUGGGUAUAGGGGCGAAAGACUAAUCGAACCAUCUAGUAGCUGGUUCCCUCUGAAGUUUCCCUCAGGAUAGCAGACACGCGGUGAGAUUCAGUCUCAUCCGGUAAAGCUAAUGAUUAGAGGCAUUGGGGUCGAAACGACCUCAACCUAUUCUCAAACUUUAAAUGGGUGAGAAGUAUGACUUGUUUGAUUAAAGCCAUACUCUCGGAUGUAUGCGUGCCUAGUGGGCCAUUUUUGGUA